UGUACAACAUACUCAUAAGAACAAUUAUCCAAACUUUAAAAAUUAAGAACUUACAGCACAUGCUUUUAAUCCCAGCACUCAGGAGGCAGAGGCAGAUGGAUCUCUGUGAGUUCAAGGCCAGCCUGGUCUACAAAGCAAGUUCUGGGAUAUUUGGGGCUGUUACACAGAGAACCCUAUCUCAAAGAACCAAAAUCAAACACACAAACAAACAACUUGUAGCAUAUACUCUCCAAGCCAGGGCAUUGUAUAACACUAUCUGAGCACCAUUUAAUUCUCUAGGAGAAUGUGUCCAUGUUGGUGCUAUUUGCUGUCAAUUAAAGAAUCUGAUUCUGUGAAGUUACACAUUAACUGAUAAUCUAUGUGCUGCUGUUGGUGUGCUGAGGUCAGGAAUGCUUGGAACCAUUCUAAAGCAUACAACUCUCCUAUGGCAACUCUCUGGCUCAAAAUGAGGAUUGGGGGCUGUUUUGUUGUAUGAGAGAAAGUCAAAACACUCUUUGGCUCAAUGUGUUUUCUACUGGAAACAUGGCAGAGCCUGUGGCUGGCACAAGGAAGACUUCAGAAUACACUAGCUGUUUCUUGAGGGAAAUCACUUUUCUUUGCAUCAACGGAGGAAAGAGGAGCUACAAAAACUUCGAGGCCCAACUGUUUUGCAGCAGAAUAUUGAACAACCUUUUCACUAGGCAAGGCUUAAUAAAAAGGAAUCUUUUGUUCUAUUUAUUGCAAGUAAACAUUUUCAUUCACUUGUAGUCUUAACAUUAUUUUUCUGAUGAAUAUUCAACUUU
rnacentral:lncRNA from 1 species